UACCUACGGGACGCAGCAGUGGGGAAUAUUGCACAAUGGGGGAACCCUGACGCAGCGACGCCGCGUGAGCGAAGAAGUAUUUCGGUAUGUAAAGCUCUAUCAGCAGGGAAGAAAAAUGACGGUACCUGAGUAAGAAGCACCGGCUAAAUACGUGCCAGCAGCCGCGGUAAUACGUAUGGUGCAAGCGUUAUCCGGAUUUACUGGGUGUAAAGGGAGCGUAGGUGGCAUGGUAAGCCAGAAGUGAAAACCCAGGGCUCAACUCUGUGGAUUGCUUUUGGAACUAUCAAGCUAGAGUGCUGGAGGGG
rnacentral:rRNA from 1 species